rnacentral:rRNA from 1 species
GCCGCGUGAGUGAAGAAGGCCUUUGGGUUGUAAAGCUCUUUUGUAGGGGAAGAUAAUGACUGUACCCUAAGAAUAAGGUCCGGCUAACUUCGUGCCAGCAGCCGCGGUAAUACGAAGGGACCUAGCGUAGUUCGGAAUUACUGGGCGUAAAGCGCGCGUAGGCCGUUGAGUUAGUUAAUUGUGAAAUCCCAAAGCUUAACUUUGGAACUGCAAUUAAAACUGCUCGACUAGAGUUUGAUAGAGGAAAGCGGAAUACAUAGUGUAGAGGUGAAAUUCGUAGAUAUUAUGUAGAACACCAGUUGCGAAGGCGGCUUUCUGGGUCAACACUGACGCUGAGGCGCGAAAGUAUGGGUAGCAAAGAGGAUUAGAUACCCUCGUAGUCCAUACCAUAAACGAUGAUUGCUAGAUGUUGGAAAUUUAUUUUCAGUAUCGCAGCUAACGCAUUAAGCAAUCCGCCUGGGGAGUACGACCGCAAGGUUAAAACUCAAAUGAAUUGACGGGGACCCGCACAAGCGGUGGAGCAUGUGGUUUAAUUCGAAGAUACGCGCAGAACCUUACCAACCCUUGACAUGUCUGUCGCGAGUUUAGGAAACUAGACUUUUCGGGUUCGGCCGGACAGAACACAGGUGCUG